AUCAGUAGCCUUAAGAAAAGA
rnacentral:piRNA from 1 species